rnacentral:tRNA from 2 species
UAGAAAAGUAGGAAUUGAACCUACAAUAAAGAGAUCAAAA